GGCUUAUUGAAUUAUAAUUUUAAGUCAAUUCUGCCCAAUGAUUUUAAUAAUUUAAUGGCUGCAGUAUAAUUGACUGUACAAAGGUAGCAUAAUCAAUUGUUUUUUAAUUAAGAACUAGAAUGAAAGAGUUAAUGAGAUAUAUACUGUCUCAUAUAUAUAUAAUUAAUUUAAAUUUUUAGUAAAAAUGCUGAAAUUGAUUUAUGGGACGAUAAGACCCUAUAGAAUUUAAUAUUAAUAUUUUGAUUUAAAUUUAAUCAUUAAAUAUUAAUAUUUUGUUGGGAGGAUAAGUAAAUUUAAUAAACUUUAUUUUAAAUAUUAACUUUAAUUAAAGAAUAUUUUUUUAUUGAUCUUUUAGUAGAAAAUAUAAGAAUAAAUUACCUUAGGGAUAACAGCGUAAUAUCUUUUUAGAGAUCAUAUUAAUAAAGAUGAUUGCGACCUCGAUGUUGAAUUAAGAUAAAUUUUAAAUGGAGAAGUUUAAUAAUUAAGUCUGUUCGACUUUUAAAAUCUU
rnacentral:rRNA from 1 species